rnacentral:rRNA from 1 species
GUAGCAAUACAUCACCGGCGGACGGGUGCGUAACACGUGGGAAUAUACCUUUUGGUUCGGAACAACGCAGGGAAACUUGCGCUAAUGCCGAAUGUGCCCUUACGGGGAAAGAUUUAUCGCCAAAGGAUUAGCCCGCGUCCGAUUAGCUAGUUAGUGAGGUAAUGGCUCACCAAGGCUCCGAUCGGUAGCUGUUCUGAGAGGAAGAUCAGCCACACUGGGACUGAGACACGGCCCAGACUCCUACGGGAGGCAGCAGUUGGGAAUCUUGGACAAUGGGGGAAACCCUGAUCCAGCCAUGCCGCGUGAGUGAUGAAGGCCUUCGGG